AGAAUCAACGCUGGCGGCGUGCCUAACACAUGCAAGUCGAACGAGAAAGUGGAGCAAUCCAUGAGUAAAGUGGCGCACGGGUGAGUAACACGUGACUAACCUACCCUUGAGUGGGAAUAACUUCGGGAAACCGAGGCUAAUACCGCAUAACACCUACGGGUCAAAGGAGCAAUUCGCUUAAGGAGGGGGUCGCGGCAGAUUAGUUAGUUGGCGGGGUAAUGGCCCACCAAGACGGUGAUCUGUA
rnacentral:rRNA from 1 species